rnacentral:rRNA from 1 species
CCUACGGGGGGCUGCAGUCGAGAAUCUUCGGCAAUGGGCGCAAGCCUGACCGAGCGACGCCGCGUGCGGGAUGAAGGCCUUCGGGUUGUAAACCGCUGUCGAGGGGAAUGAAGUGCAGGUGGGUUCUCCCAUCUGUUUGACAGAUCCCUGGAGGAAGCAUGGGCUAAGUUCGUGCCAGCAGCCGCGGUAAGACGAACCAUGCGAACGUUAUUCGGAUUCACUUGCGUUAACGCGUUCGUAGGCGAGCUUUGAAAGCCCUCAGCCCAACUGAGGAAUUGCGCUUGAUACUGCAUGACUAGAGAAUGAUAGAGGUGGGUGGAACUGAGGGUGGAGCGGUGAAAUGCGUUGAUAUCAUCAGGAACACCAGUGGCGAAGGCGACCCACUGGGUCAUUUCUGACGCUGAGGUACGAAAGCUAGGGUAGCGAACGGGAUUAGAUACCCCGGUAGUC